rnacentral:rRNA from 1 species
AGUUAAGCGUGCUUGGGCGAGAGUAGUACUAAGUUGGGUGACCACUUGGGAAGUCCUCGUGUUGCACCCU